rnacentral:rRNA from 1 species
CGUCUAUAUACGUAUAGCAUAUCAAUAAGCGGAGGAAAAGAAACUAACAAGGAUUCCCUUAGUAACGGCGAGUGAAGCGGGAAGAGCUCAAAUUUGAAAUCUUCAAGGUUCUACCUUGACGAAUUGUAGUUUAAAGAAGUGUUUUCUGUUAGAGGAGUAGGCAAAAGUUCCUUGGAAUAGGGACAUCAUAGAGGGUGAGAAUCCCGUAUUUGGUUAUUCUUUCUAGCUGUGUGAUACACUUUCAAAGAGUCGGAUUGUUUGGGAAUGCAGUCCAAAAUGGGUGGUAAAUUUCAUCUAAAGCUAAAUAUUGGCGAGAGACCGAUAGCGAACAAGUACCGUGAGGGAAAGAUGAAAAGAACUUUGAAAAGAGAGUUAAACAGUACGUGAAAUUGUCAAAAGGGAAGCGUUUGACACCAGUGUUGUUUUUCCGAAAAUCAAUUAAGAGUGGCUUGAUUUUGUGUUGUAUUGACCUUAUCAGCUUUCUUCACUCUUUUUCGAGUCUUUCUUAAUGCACUUUUCGGUUAACAAGUCAACAUCAAUUUCUUUUGUUGUAAAAGGGUAAUUGGAAGGUGGCUUCUUUUCGGAGAAAGUGUUUAUAGCCUUUAUACCUCUACAAUCGGAGAGAUUGAGGUCUGCAGCGUAGAUCCUUCGGGGUUAGAUACACUUGUGCUAAGUUAUAGCCUGUUAUAGACAACUUGUUGACUAUACUCGGUCAUGUAGCUUACUCGCUUGUGCUAUUUUACCUACGCUUAGGAUGUUGAGUCAUCACACAUCUCU